GAACGCAUCUUGCACCCCUGGGUAUUCCUGGGGGUACGCCUGUUUCAGUAUCAAUUUAUUCUUCCCAAGCUCAAUUUACUUGUUCUUGGGGAAAAAUCACCAUUGGCCUCGAGACUGGGCUUCACCGCCCACUUCCCGGCUUAAAUUCGGCUAGUUUUUUCUAACUGGUAGUUACCUUUUUGGUAGAUUUAUCUGCUUCAAAAUUAUUCCUAUCAGCUAAAUGAAACUCCCUGGGUCUUUCGGCCCAGUCAACUCUCAUCACUUGAUCUGAAAUCAGGCGGGAUUACCCGCUGAACUUAAG
rnacentral:misc_RNA from 1 species